CAUAGAAUCCAGAGUCAUAGCAUGGCAGGUCACUUGAAAUCCAGACUGAGGAAGCAGAGAGAGCUGAAAGCUAAUGCUCAGCUUGAUUCCUCCUUCCCAUGCAGUCUCAGACGCCAGCUCCUUUGAUUUUGCCACUCAUAGUCAAGCCUGCCUUUGUUAUAGCUGUGGUGGCCAUGCAUCUUGGGACAAGGAGAAAUGCAGUCAUAACUUUCUGCCCCUACAAUUGAGAAUCUCUGACUCCUUGGAGAAAAGAGAAGAUGAGUAUUUCUGAAUAAUAUAUUUUACUUUUCAUAUUCUCACUAAUGCGAUACCAACUAACAUUUUUAUUUUACAGCUGUUUUUAUUUAAGUAUGAUUAAUAUGUAAAGACAAUGCUAGUUUAUCUAGUUAAUUUUAUUAAAACAUUAAAUUAUUUUAUAAUUAAUUUAGUUAAUGGUUAACAUAUUGCCUUACAAUAAUAAAUUUACAUAAAUAUUUGUAUUUUAACUUUACAAAGUUAUUUCAAAAUUUUAUAAAAUUUGAAGCUCUUUAAGCCUUGCUCCUUAGGCUCUUCCCCUGCCAUGGUCUCUACCCCCAUUUGGUUUUAAAAUGAGGAUAUCCAGUAUAUGUUGGAAGCAUGUCAUUCAUUUUAUUUUUCAUUUUAUAUAGGCAAAGGACCUUGUUUAGAAGUUGAUUUGAGUCUCAGAAGAAACUUUGCAUCUUUGAAGAGUUAGGGAAUUUUAAAGUGGGAAUUAAAUCAUUUUGCAUCAUGGGAUGGCCAUGAGCCUAAGCAAAGGCAGAACACUGAGGUCUCAAUGAUUCCCAUAGGCCGAUGUGCUUCAACACUUCAACUCUGGCUAGUGGUACUGUUUGAAAAGGUUGCAGAAUCUUUAGAAGAUGCAAUGUGACCAGCUGCCUAUGUUCCUGCUACCCUACUUUUUCCACAGUGAUAGACUGACUCCCUCAGACUGAGCCAGAAUAAAGUCUUCUUUGUUUAAAUUUCUUCUUGUUGGGCAUUUUGUGGGAGCAAUGAAAAAAAAGUAACUAAUAUACUUGUCUGAAAAUUGGCCAUGACACCAUCCUUCCAGAUCAAAGAGAAAGAAUGGUACAGAGAAUUUGAAUAGACAGACCUUGGUAGGUUUCCCCGCUCAGUCUAUACCACGUGUCAAAAUCAUUUUUCCAGUCACCUUUCUACACAGCUAUCCUUCUUCAUCAAACUUACGUGUAAAAAAUGGUUCUCCUCUAGUCUUAGGAUUUUGAGUUCUUGUUUUAAAGAAUUUUUAUUGUGAGUUACAUAAAAGAUUAAUCCAUGCAUUGUUCACAUAUAAUUUAAAAAUAAUAAACAAUAAACAUCACCUUAAGAAUUAGUAUCCUAUCAAUUUUUCUUCAGUGCUGUUCUAAACUGAAGUAGUUUUCCUUCUUCCCAGAGUUGACAACAGUUAACAAUUAAGAGAUUUCAUAGGAUACAGAACUUUACUUUUCUUUUAAAUUUUUGAAUUACAUGCAUCUAUGGUGUGUGUGUGUGGAGGGGUGCACAUGCAUGCCCUAAUGCGUGUGUGGAGAUCAGAGGAUGACAUAAGCCCAGUUUCACCAUGUCAGACCCAAGAAUUGAACUCACAGUGUCAGAUUUGUCAGCAGGUGUCCUUAUUGUUAAGGUGUCUUUCUGGACCUGGAUCAUCAUUUCUGAAUACUCCUGAGUCACAUGAAUUUGCCAUGCUAAACUUUGAUUCAGCAGAAGUGCUAUGCUCCUUCUGAAACUGCCUCCUGUUUUAGGAGUGUCAGCCUAGCCCUUAUGACAGGUGAAAGAAAAUGCCACAACAUUUGUUCAACUAUAAUGCUUUCAACAAUUUCCUCUAAUAAAUUUCUAAUUAAUGUUUAAGUAAAAACCUCUGAAAGCAAUUAUUUUACUGUCAUUUGAUUCUCUUUCUAGGAAAUGGUCUCAAAAGCGACAUAGGAAGGUGAAUCAAUACAAAGGCCUUAGUGAUGUGGCCUCAAAGUGUUUCUAGAAAACUGUGUCUAUAGCAGUCCCACCCAUUAAAGUACAUAGGAAUGCCUUUCUCAGCGUAGAGAUGCACUGCAGACAUGCAUAGGUAUUGAUUUGCAUCAGAGACCAGGCUGAAUCUGUGCUUUUUUGUGCUGUGUCUAAGGGCCAACUUAAUAGGACACUCAUAUUCACCCCAUAUAUUUUGGAGGUGUACAUACUUAAGCAUAUAUAAGCAAAAGAAGUAGAAUGUUUGCUUUAAAAAUACCAAUUUAUGACUGAUAUAAAAUAAAGAUGUGUGCUGU